rnacentral:rRNA from 1 species
UGGGGAAUAUUGGACAAUGGGCGCAAGCCUGAUCCAGCCAUGCCGCGUGAGUGAUGAAGGCCCUAGGGUUGUAAAGCUCUUUCACCGGUGAAGAUAAUGACGGUAACCGGAGAAGAAGCCCCGGCUAACUUCGUGCCAGCAGCCGCGGUAAUACGAAGGGGGCUAGCGUUGUUCGGAUUUACUGGGCGUAAAGCGCACGUAGGCGGACUUUUAAGUCAGGGGUGAAAUCCCGGGGCUCAACCCCGGAACUGCCUUUGAUACUGGAAGUCUUGAGUAUGGUAGAAGUGAGGAGAAGUCCGGGUGUAGAGGUGAAAUUCGUAGAUAUUCGGAGGAACACCAGUGGCGAAGGCGGCUCACUGGACCAUUACUGACGCUGAGGUGCGAAAGCGUGGGGAGCAAACAGG